rnacentral:rRNA from 1 species
ACGGAAGGCAGCAGUGAGGAAUAUUGGUCAAUGGGCGGAAGCCUGAACCAGCCAAGUCGCGUGAAGGAUGAAGGUAUUAUGUAUUGUAAACUUCUUUAGACGUAGAGAAAUAAGCGAGACGCGUCCCGCGAUGCUAGUAUACGUAGAAUAAGGAUCGGCUAACUCCGUGCCAGCAGCCGCGGUAAUACGGAGGAUCCGAGCGUUAUCCGGAUUUAUUGGGUUUAAAGGGUGCGCAGGCGGUUUGUUAAGUCAGCGGUUAAAUAGUGGAGCUCAACUCCAUCCCGCCGUUGAUACUGGCAGACUUGAUUGCGGUCGAGGUUGGCGGAAUUCGCCGUGUAGCGGUGAAAUGCAUAGAUAUGGCGAAGAACUCCGAUUGCGUAGGCAGCUGACCAGGCCGUAAAUGACGCUCAUGCACGAAAGUGCGGGGAUCGAACAGGAUUAGAUACCCUGGUA